AACGCUAGCUACAGGCUUAACACAUGCAAGUCGAGGGGUAACGAAAGGGAAGCUUGCUUUCCUUGUCGACGACCGGCGCACGGGUGAGUAACGCGUAUCCAACCUGCCCACAACUAAGGAAUAACCUUGCGAAAGUAAGACUAAUACCUUAUAAUUUCCUCUGAAGGCAUCGGACGAGGAAUAAAGAUUUAUCGGUUAUGGAUGGGGAUGCGUCUGAUUAGCUUGUUGGCGGGGUAACGGCCCACCAAGGCAACGAUCAGUAGGGGUUCUGAGAGGAAGGUCCCCCACAUUGGAACUGAGACACGGUCCAAACUCCUACGGGAGGCAGCAGUGAGGAAUAUUGGUCAAUGGGCGAGAGCCUGAACCAGCCAAGUAGCGUGCAGGAUGACGGCCCUAUGGGUUGUAAACUGCUUUUAUACAGGAAUAAAGUUAGCCACGUGUGGCUAUUUGUAGGUACUGUAUGAAUAAGGACCGGCUAAUUCCGUGCCAGCAGCCGCGGUAAUACGGAAGGUCCAGGCGUUAUCCGGAUUUAUUGGGUUUAAAGGGAGCGUAGGCCGUCUGUUAAGCGUGUUGUGAAAUGUAGAUGCUCAACAUCUGAAUUGCAGCGCGAACUGGCAGACUUGAGUGUGCGCAACGUAGGCGGAAUUCGUGGUGUAGCGGUGAAAUGCUUAGAUAUCACGAAGAACUCCGAUUG
rnacentral:rRNA from 1 species